CAGGUCCAGAGAAUAUGAUGUUUGAGGUAUGGAACCCCCUAGGAACCGUAGGUGUAAUCACUGCUUUCAAUUUUCCAUGUGCUGUACUAGGAUGGAAAGCUUGCAUUGCACUAGAAACUAAAAUUGUUACAGCGUAAUAAGAUGGUGUUUUAGCCAGAGCACUGAAUGCUACAAGCAAUAGUUUCCAGAUGAUCUUCUAAAGGAUUCAACAAGAGUUGUCCCUGUUAUGCGAAAGAAGCUUCAAUCAUUGCGAGAAUCGGAUACUACAGGAAGUGGGAAUGAGAAUGAGACAGACAUUGGAUUAGUUUGAAGCGUUGUCAACGUAAAGACUCAGUUGCUUCAAAGCCUGAGAAACUUGACUCAUUAGGUGAUGGAACUUCCAUUUAAUCAGUACUCAUGGCUUACAACUCAUAACUCUUUUUCUUCGAGGGUAGCGAAUUUGAGUAUAAACUCUCAAAUUUCGACUGUCACGAAUCAGGAAGACUCCAUUAUAGAUCAACUGCA